CUGUGAAGCUUACAGACGGUUUCGAUCAUAAUUACAGUCGGCUAUGGAUUUGAAAUGUCAACCCGUGCAAUUUGCGGUUCGAAUAACGGAUUACAUAUUGUUGAAACCAAUCAAAACUGGCCAACCGAAUUAUGCUUAUCAAUAACCUUAUCCCUCCACAUGGCAUCAUAUAAUUAAUUCCUUAGAUUACACUUAUUCAUCACUCAACAUACUGACCAAAUCAUUAAAGACUUUUCAAUUUUCAUCUUCUUCCAUUUUUUCCUUAAACCUUUUUUUCUCUGCAACUUCACCUCACCAUUUUUCCUUCACCGUUUUCUUCCCCCCUCCCCCCACAUCAACUAACGACUCAAUGUUUUUGCAAAGUCAUCACCAUUGGGACUCAUUGCCGAACUCGUCAUCACCGGAACUCAUUGCCGAUCUCGGAGGAUCAUGGCUGAACUCGUCUCUCUCAGAUCUGUAUUUUUUCUAAUGUGUUUGUAGAUAUGAAUUUUUCUCAAUUUUUCUUCCACUUCUACUUUUGCGGUUCUACAUUCACCUGCCCGACACCGACCACCAAACCUAAGGCUUGACUCGGUCGAUUUUGAAGGGGAGAUCGGUCGAUAGCGGAUAAGAAGACUCUCAACCCGAAAUGUUCGGUUCGGAUGAUGGGUGAAGGGUAAACCCAACCCAACGCGACCCGUGCACACCCAGCAGAUGAACGAAGUGGAUUAGUACUCUUAAGUUCUUUUAUGGCAUUAUCAUUAACGAGGUUGACAGAAAUUAAAAUUUGAAGGAGCAAAAUGAGAUUUUGGUAAAAGUGCAACAAAUAAAGUGAGAUUUUUUUUAUGAAAGUGUAGGGGUUCUAACGAGUCGAAUAAAAUAUUAUGUAUGGCUUACAUGAUAAUUUUUGUAAGCCUUAUUAACGUUAGAUGGACGGGAGGGUGACAUUCCAACUUAAAGCGUAAAAGGUUGACUGUCACAAUUGAAAAUGGAGGGGCUAAAGUGAGAUUGUGAUGAAAGUGCAAGAGUGCCAAGUGUAAUUAACCCAAACAAGUAAGGGUGUGAUGAUUAUGAGAUUUUUGCUCAUAAAAGGAAAAUCUUAUUCA